rnacentral:lncRNA from 1 species
UUAUAACGUUAAUGUGCAUGCACAUAUGCAAUGGAAAUGUGACACACUUAUAAAUUCACAUAUGCUUCGAGUUUGGUUACACCACAAGUAUAUACUCUAUGCUUUGUUGGUGAUAAUACAAGCAAGAAGAAAUUACCAAACUCCUCUUGGUUAGGCUACACAUGGGCACAAUGUAGCUACAUGAUGAUAAUACUAAUACAAGUGAAACCAAACUUUAUAAAAUAUUCUCAUGAAUUUCAAAUCUAAGAUCACAUGAAUAUUUCACUAGUUCUAUAUGAUAUAGUUAAGAACUAGUAUGGGUAAGGUGCAUGUAGGCAAUCAACUUACAUGUCAAAAAGAUAAUCCCAUAUAAAUUGAAAUGAAACCAUGAACUCUCUAUAUAAAUGCAUGUAUAAAAUCAACUUAAAUUUUAUAAUAUAACCUCAUAUAGAUCGAAAUUAAACCAUGCACUCCCCUCAUAUAGGUGCAUAUGCCCACAAAUUAAAUGAUAACUAGGAUCAUAACCUACGUUACUUGCACUAAACAUAAAUUAGUGCAUCAUCAAUUUCCAUAUAGCCUUCUCAUAUGUGGUUUGACAAAAUAUAUCCCUUAUCAUAAACUGAACACAUAUUCCCUAAAUUCUAUGCAUUCAUACGGGAACCAAAUGCACGAUAAAAUUAACUCAUAAAAAGAGUUAUCCCCUAUAUUGCACACAUGCCCAUUAGUUAGGCUAGUUAAUCAUUAAAUAGAUCUUUGUAUUAAAAUAUGUGAUGGUUAAAGAGGUAGGCAUGCACAUGCUACAUGAACGAGCGUUCCAAAUUAUGAAUGCUAUGCAACACAUAUAUUAGCAUGGACGAGCUUCAAGGCUUCCCGAGUACGCCGACAUCGACGACAGCGAGGAGGAUUUUGUUUAAACAUUUUGUAGUUUUUAUUUUAUUUCUGCAUUUUGUAGUACCCAUAUGUUGCAAUGCUAUGUAAUAGAUAUAUGUUGGAAUUCUUAAUCAGGGGUUUUCUCCAUGGAGAUGUAAUUAACAGAUUUUUUAUGUAAAUGUAAGAGUUUUGUGAAUAAACAACCUACAAUGUUUGAUCUUCUUUUUAUUGUAUGCAUUUAUAUUAUGCGUUUUAAAUAUAUUCACUCUGUAUCAAUGACGUGGACGCGUGUUCUCACGCUCGUCAUUUUCCCGUCAUCAGUACCCCAAGUUAAUAU